rnacentral:RNase_P_RNA from 1 species
CGGGUGAGCCGGGUGAUCGCUGGCUUAGGCUGAAGAACGUCGGCGUAAAGCCGCCGCUACAAAGCCGAAGCGGGAGGAAAGUCCGGACACCGUCGUGAGGCACGUUGGCCGCUCUGCGUUCAUCCUGAAGAAAGCGGGGUGCUGGUGUAAAGACCGGCGCUACCCGAGUGAGCGAAGAGCGAACAUCUUUAGUGGUGACCGCAGAGCGGUCAACGGAACUCAGGACAUGGGCAACGCGCCUGGUAACGCCAGGGGACGAUGUUGAAGACGGCGGGGUAAACCCGCCGCUACACACGGCGUCACGGAAAGUGCCACAGAGAAUAGACCGCCGGCGGAGUGGAGCCCGGUGACAUCGAACAGGGAAACCUGCGAGGCGUCUUCGAAAAGCUAGCUCGGUUAGGCAAGGGUGAAAAGGUGGGGUAAGAGCCCACCGCUCCGGUGGUAACACCGGAGGCACGGAAAACCCCGCGUGGUGCAAGGCCAAAUAGGAGGGGAGAGCCGGCCCGGCUCGCUGAGUGCGUUUUCGAAAGGAAGCGUGCUUCGUUCGCGGUGGCGCAAGCCAUCGUGAAGGAGAACCCUCGGGUAGGCUGCUGGAGUCACGGUGCGAACCGUGACCUAGAGGAAUGAUCGCCGCGGUGAAACAGCUCGCUUCGCGAGUUAUUCACUCGACAGAAUCCGGCUUACAGGCUCAUUCGCCAU